rnacentral:rRNA from 1 species
AUUGAACGCUGGCGGCAGGCCUAACACAUGCAAGUCGAGCGGAUGCAGGGAGCUUGCUUCUGGAUUCAGCGGCGGACGGGUGAGUGAUGCCUAGGAAUCUGCCUGUUUGUGGGGGAUAACGUCCGGAAACGGGCGCUCAUACCGCAUACGUCCUGAGGGCGAACGUGGGGGAUCUUCGGACCUCACGCUCUCAGAUGAGCCUAGGUCGGGUUAGCUAGUUGGUGGGGUAAAGGCCUACCAAGGCGACGAUCCGUAACUGGUCUGAGAGGAUGAUCAGUCACACUGGAACUGAGACACGGUCCAGACUCCUACGGGAGGCAGCAGUGGGGAAUAUUGGACAAUGGGCGAAAGCCUGAUCCAGCCAUGCCGCGUGUGUGAAGAAGGUCUUCGGAUUGUAAAGCACUUUAAGUGGGAAAGAAGGGCAGUAAGUUAAUACCUUGCUGUUUUGACGUUACCAACAGAAUAAGCACCGGCUAACUUCGUG